rnacentral:tmRNA from 1 species
GGGGACGACCUGGUUUCGACGUGGGUUGCAAAGCAGCGCAGGGCAUACCGAGGGCGGGCUACCUCGUAAAUACAACCUGAAAAAACUUAACUGCAAACGAUAACUCGUACGCACUGGCAGCUUAAUCGCUGUUAGCUCUAGAACACCUCGUCCCUGGGGUGGGCCGUCAAAAGCUCUAGAGUCA